rnacentral:tRNA from 1 species
GACGGGUUAGUUCAGCAGGUAGAACGGUGGACUGUUAAUCCAUAUGUCAUCGGUUCGAAUCCGGUACUCGUCG